GAGAGAAAGAGAGAGAAAGAGAGAGAGAGAGAGAGAGAGAGAGAGAGAGAGAACGGAGAUCUAUCUCUUCCUUAUUAUCGAGUGCGUUAUUGUAUUUCGUUUAGUGCGUGGUGACGAUCAUCAUCGUCCUUUUUGUGUAGAAAAUUUUCUUUAUAGAAAUAGAAGAGAAGGGAGAAAAGAAGAAGAAGAAGAAGAAGAAGAAAAGUGAAGAAAACGAGAGAAGAGAGGAAACAUAAACGAAAAGGAAAGAAUAAAAAGAAAAAGAAAGGAAAAGGUGGGGUGAUCUUUUUCUUUGUGUACGCGCCUACGAAACCCCCUUCUUCCCUCCUCUCGCGCGUGCACGCACACACGCACACACAUACACAUAUAUAUAUAUAUAUAUAUAUGCGCGCGCGUACGCACGCACGACGUACGCACGUACACACAUUUCUCAACUAUGCGAUAUAGUGUGUCCGUGAAAAUUGUUGUAAGUCUAUCUAUUCUUCGUAAAAUUUCUAUUAUUUUUUUCAUCUUUCUUUAUAUUAUUUCAUUCUUUUUUUUUUUUAUUAUUAAUUCCCUUUUCUUCUCUCGUUUUAUUCGUUUUGUCACAACGUGGUAACAACACCACAUGAAACUUCUCCCGCGUCUUUUCAACGCACGCAGUGACGUUCGCGAUCGCCGCGUACAACAUCACCUCCCCUCUCUUCCCUCCCAUCCUUUCUUCCUCCCUCACAAGUCAGUUCGCCUGCCUGCCUGCCUGCCUACUCCUACGCCGUGCUCCUCCUCCUCCUUCUCCUCCUCCUCUUCUUUCGCUACAUCCUCUUUCUCCUCCUUCUCCUUCUUUACCCCUCUUCCCCACCUCUUCACCAAACCUUCGACACGCUCCUGCUCGUCCGUUUCUCGUGCGCGCGCGAAGUCACGAAGGAGCUUCGUACGUCGCCGGCUAAACCGUAGAGCCCCCCGUAUACGUAUAGACGUAGCCAUAGUUCAAAAGAAGAGGGAGAAUCAAGGCAACAAGGACGGGAAGAAAAGAGAAGAAAAGCUAUAUCUUUCUCUUUCUCUCUCCCUUUUUUCGUCAUCGUUCGUCAUCAUCGUCGUCUCUUCGUCUUUAUAUCUUCGUCACGUUACGCUCCUCUCUCUCUCUUUUGAGAUCGAGAGAUCGAGAAGCACUUAAGAUACGAGACGCAUGUUUUUUGCAAUCGUCAUCAUCAUCGUCAUUAACGUAGUCAUCGUUGUAAUCUAAAUGUCAGUAGGAAGCAGCCAGAACGGCAAUAGCAGCACCAGCAGCAGCAGCAGCGUGUUCCUAACCUCCAAAUUGCCGUUCGUCGUUCUCUCGUGUUAUCCCGCUUUCUCUCUCUCUCUCUCUCUCUCUCUCUCUCCUCUCUCUCUCUCUCUCUCUCUGUCGUGAACAAGCGACGCACCAACCAACGAUUGCUAUUACCACUACCACAAUACUAAUACUACUACAAUAUUACUACUACACUACUAAUACACUACUACUACUAAUAUUACGUCUACUACUACACUAAACGACAGUGAGACUACCAGCACGAGACAAGAACGCGUCAUCGAGGAAACAGCCUGACGUUGUUUGUUCACGGCAUCGAUUCGAAUCGUACUUCGCGUCUAUCGCGUGUUAUACCGUAAAUCAAAAUCGUCGGUGGUGUGGCUGGCGUUGUGCCCCCAUGACCACCGUGCGUGUAUUCACCAAUUCUUUUUUCUUUUUCCAUCGAAAGAUUCUUGUGCUUUGUGUAAAGAAUAAUAAUAAUAAGAAGAAGAAGAGAAAGUAGAAGAAGAAAAAAAAGAGAUAAACGACUCCUGUAAGAAGAAGAAAAAGGAAUAAAAGAAACAGCGAAGAGGAAAAAAUAAAAGAGAAAGAAAGAAAAAAAGAGAGGAAAGAUAUAUAAACUUUUCUGUGAUAACACGUUCUCUUUUCUUCGUUUGAAAAUUGCCAGCCGGCGGUGGAUUCAAAACGACGUACUUCGCCGGUGAUCAUCAUCGUCCUACCGUUGUCACGGUAGGUCAAGUGCAAAAUAAAAUAGAAUACUGUGUACUGAACGAAAGUAAGGCGCGUUUGUGGAAUUUGGAAAGUAUGAUGAUGGCAAAUCUUUCCCCCGUUAUGCUGCCGCCUAUAGCCGACUACGGGAUGCUGACGCCUACACUCGGAAUAAAGGUGAGUUUUUAAAUUCUACGAACA